rnacentral:rRNA from 1 species
AACGUAGGUACCGAGCGUUAUCCGGAUUUACUGGGCGUAAAGCGCGUUCAGGCGGUUUGGCAAGUCGGGCAUGAAAUCUCUCGGCUCAACCGGGAGAGGUUGUCCGAUACUGCCGGACUUGAGGGCAGUAGAGGGUGGUGGAAUUCCGGGUGUAGUGGUGAAAUGCGUAGAUAUCCGGAGGAACACCAGUGGCGAAAGCGGCCACCUGGACUGCACCUGAGCUGACACGCGAAAGCUAGGGGGAGCGAAACGGGG